AGGAGCUGCUCACGGCAUUUCUGAGGGUGACCAAGGCAUACCCUGCUGAUGUUGUGGUCACCCUCCUGCGCUGUGCCCCAUCCUGUGACAGAGCUCCUGCCAGCAUGUGGAGGACCAUCGCCUCAUCGGGAAUGGCACUGGAGAAGGUGCUGCCAGAGUUGCUCUGUGUGCUGGAGGACUGGCCAUUGCACAGCUCAUCCACCUCUGACGGGGACAACACGCCUGUCUUUGCUCUGGCUGCAACCAUCGUGGUUUGGGAGAUUCUCCAGAUGUCCCGGUGCCCAGAGCAAUUGCAAGACUAUUCCCCCCAUCUCCUCAUGGAUCUGCUCUUCCACGUUUUCUCCAGCACAGAGCAGAUGCCAGAGGAGGUUGACACAUUCUGGAAGGGAUACUGGGAGCAACACGGCCUUCCCACAGACUCCA